CGUCCGUUCCCGAUCUAGCUCACACACACAUUUGCAUUGGCAGGUAGGGAGUCUGGAAGGGGGCAGGGAAGAAGCAAGGAGUUGCGGUACCUUUCUUGAACUUUCUGAGCUUGUUUAGAUGUGGAACUCAGCGCUCUAAGCUGCCAGACCUCGUCUUCUCCAAACCCGAAGCUUGGUGGGGAUAGCCCGGCGCACGACCCUGCUCUCAGCCAGCCCGCGCGGGAAUCUCACCGCAGCAGGCAACACGCAAAAAGGGAAGAGCCUUGGAGAGCCCGCGGGACCUGCAAGUGGACGAGCAAUCUGCCUUCCUCUGGAAGCCGAGGAUGGUAAGGAGAGCCCACGAUUGAAAUAAAGGGUCAGAGGGGGGGCGUGAAAAACCUCUGCACUAAGCCCAAGCAAAAACUGAAGUCACGGUCAAGUGUUCCCCAUAAGAGGGCGGGGCAGCUGGCUAGGAGCAGUUGGGGGCGGAGAAGGGAGGGUCCAGUUGGGGCUGGGAGGGGCCCAAGGCGGAGGCCUCAGGGGAAAACUUUAUGGCUCUUUCAGCCACCACCACCUCCCCUCCCAGAGUGGAGAAACAGCUCUGUACCUCCAUCAAGUCCCAGCUGCAGAGUGGGGGGCCGCGGGCAGUGCAGCGGGCGGGGGCGGCCACCCGGAUCGCUCACUAUUGGGCUACCACGGCAGCUCGCGAGUCAGCUGGGGUUCCCCGGAGCGCCCUGAACCCGGGGAGUACCAACCCCCAGCGAAAAGAAAAGUGAAAGAAAAUAGGCGAUGGCUUGGAGCCCACCCACCACUUUCACGGGCUGGACACGGUGCGGGAAGCUUCCCCAAUGAAGCCUGGAGACCCGAGCGCCGAGCACGUCCAAGUCGCCCAGAGGAAAGGGAAAAAUGUGUUGGAUCUCGAUGGGCGGCUACUCCAUCCGGACCAGUCCCUUGGCUCCUCGCGCCAGCUGUAAGAAACAAGGCUCUGAAGUCUUAAUAGAGAAAACAUUGGAAAAAGUCACCUGGGUAACUACUUUGUCCAAGUGAGAUCUGAAGCUCAUCUAGAAGUUACAAUUUCACUCAAGAACUUUUAAAAAGUAACUAUUUACAUCAACUCUUCAAUCAAGCACAGCUAACCCAAGCACAGGUAUCACAAGUGAUUUGCAAACUGGUAAGAAUGAGAAAAGCCAGUAUAACAAGUUUUUCCUUUUACCCUUGAGUAUGCAGCUGUAAUUUUGGUGUACGGUGAUUUUUUUGCCCCCGCCACACACCCCUUCCUCCUUUUCUUCCUCCUUCCCUCCCCAAGUUUUGCUCUGCAUUCAGAAAGAAAAUGAGAAAUGCCACAGUUUUCAAGAUCUACUUUGCUCAUAUUGAGAAAACGUUUGACAGGAACAGGGUGGAAAACUUCAGAAACUGGCAAUAAGCUGAAAUGGGGGGAAAAAAGAUUCAGGAGAUUCUACCUUUUACCCUU
rnacentral:lncRNA from 1 species